rnacentral:lncRNA from 1 species
GCAGAGUGCUCAUGGGUUUGCCUCCCCCCCUGAGACCCGCUGUGCAGAGGUACAUCCAGCAGAGCUGUAUGUGUGGAUGUGUCUUCAAUAUUACCAUUCAUAUGGUAGUUCUCCACGAAAACUCAGCUCAGAUUCCGUCUGUGGUUUUCAGCAAGAAUACUGCUUUUCCCUUCUUCCCGCACUAUUUUCCAGCCAGAUUGACUGAACUACAGAAAGGUCAAAUGACUUGCUUGGAGGGUAAGCUAUGAGUCAGGAGCACAGCUAGUAUUGAAUCAAACCUUUUCCUGUCUUCCAGUCCAACCACUAGACAACACACAAUUGCUUUCAUUGACCAGAGAGUUCUAAUGAAGUCAGCGUUAGCUGUGGCAUACACUAGCAUGACUCUCUGAACAGUGUUAGUACGCAUUAGGAGGAGUCUCCAAAAAUCAGUCACCUUCUACCAACAAUUCAGUUGGUAUGUGGCAGACAGCAGACCUUGAGUCCCUUUCUUUACAUGCUUUGUGUCCUGCCUGUGCAUAUUGCCAUUUGCACACUUCAGUCAUGCAGCUGUGCGCCCAUCUGCACUGGGAGCUGGUGUACACAGCUCUACUCGGGGGCUGACCUACAGCCUUCGUUCUCAAUCUUCUGGUCUUGGGACGUCCAACGGGAUUUCAGCUGCUCCUCCUUUACAGGCAAGAAGAUGGAAAGGGGCCUAUUAUUCUGUUCUGCUGUAAUAUGAGAUCACGGUUGGGAAAAUGUUCAGAAACACUGGACGAGAUAAGCUCAACAAUCUGUUUUGACCUUAGGCUCUACUGAUGUUUGGAUUUAGCUGACCUACAUGCAUCUGCACAAAUGUUAGCAGAUAGAUGUCUGGAAAACUUGCAGAUAGACUGAUGGAAGAUACUGAUAAAAGAAAAUAUAUAUAUAUAUAUGACUGGAAAGGAGCUUGAGCAAGCAUCUAUUCUACCCUCACCUAAAGCAGGAUGGGCUUUAUCUACACCAUUCCUAGCAGGCAACUCAGCUUCAGUGACCUCCCCAGGCUAUCUGUGCUAUCACUCGGGUUAUUAGGUUAGACAUUAAGGGGAACCUUUAUUGCUCCCUCUUUCUGAAAUGGGAGUGUGCCACUUUCAUGUACAGGAUGUAAACCAAUCAAAAAACAGAGUCCAUGCUAUUUGGAAGAGCAUGUAUUACAAAGUCAAUGGUAGAGGAGUAAAUGUGUCUUCAGCAAAAAUUCCCUUUUUCUUGUGGUGAUUUUUUCCAGUACAGAGAAAUUGUUUUUUUCUCUUUGUACUGAAUAAUGCCUGGCUCUGCCUUUCUCCUACUAAGGCUCUAUUUUCAAAGAUUUUCUAAGUGUUAUUCUAUUAAACUGCCUUUGUAUGUGAAGAAAAGGUAAUAGGAAAAAGAAAUAGUUUUCAAAUGAGACUGAAGAUUUGACUUUUCAAAGCCAGGAAAUUUGUAUUGAAUCAUCUGACUGAAUUUGCUGUGCUGCGCUGUGCUGCGAUGUUUUAGCUCAUACGGCACACAAGAUAACCACUGUUCAGAGACCCUGCAGUAACUCAGCAAAAUAGGAUGAAUGGAGGAUGACGUUUCUGCUAUAAAUCAUCGGGUCUAUUGUGUAUAUGUGUAAUAGACAGGACUUGGGAAGCAGGGAAAUAUAGGACUGUUAUGGAAUACCAGAAGGAAUCUUUUACUGAUGACUGGAUGUCCGCUCAAAAAAAAAAAAAAAAAAAAAGGGAAAAAAAAAAAAGACCCUCUCUAAUAUAAAGUCACCAUAUAAAUUAGAAAUGGAAACAGCUACUAUUAGAGCAUCUUUUCCAUCCUCCUGUCACUGUGGAAUUGUUCCCUACCGUGUGUUCCUGAGUGUUUUGUCCAGUCUUCUCUGAAACAGUUUAAGCAACAAGGUUUCCAUUGCUUCUCCUUGGAAUCCUACCCCACUCUGUAGUAGAUCUCGUUAAUAGGAGAUGUUGCUGUAAAUCAUAAAUUUUCCUGCUCUCAGUUUCAUCUCAUUAAUUCCACUUAUACCCCCUUCUCCGGUCCUAAUCAAUUCCUUUGCCUUUUAAGUGUUUAUAUCCUCCUAAGACUUAUGGGGAAUUACCAUACCCCAAUUAGAUAUCAUCCAGCCAAGAUAUUUGCAAAGCCCAUUCCCUUCAUUUUCCUUCAGCCCACAUCUAAGCCUUGGAUCAUUUUUUCCCCUCUCUGAAGUCCCUUCAGUUUGUCAUCGAGUCGCCCUCAAUUUAAGUUGAAGAGAGGUCUGGUCCCUACACUGCAGCCAGAGAUGCGGCGAUCGGGUUUCCAGAACACUAGCAAUCCCCCGCUCACCACAAAGUCAGAUGGAGGCGAGUGGCUGUGGAGACCACUCAGGAAGAAAAAGGAAAUAAAGGAGAGUGGCAGUUUGCA